UCCAGGGUAGCCUAGUGGACAUGUCAUGGGCCGGUAAGCGGAACAUUGUGGGUUCGAUUCCCAUCCCUGGAC
rnacentral:tRNA from 1 species